UAGGGAAUAUUGGACAAUGGGCGCAAGCCUGAUCCAGCCAUGCCGCGUGAGUGAAGAAGGCCCUCGGGUUGUAAAGCUCUUUUGUCCGGAAAGAAAAGCAUCGGGCUAAUACCCUGGUGUUCUGACGGUACCGGAAGAAUAAGCACCGGCUAACUUCGUGCCAGCAGCCGCGGUAAUACGAAGGGUGCAAGCGUUACUCGGAAUUACUGGGCGUAAAGCGUGCGUAGGUGGUUUGUUAAGUCUGAUGUGAAAGCCCUGGGCUCAACCUGGGAAUGGCAUUGGAAACUGGCGGACUCGAGUGCGGUAGAGGGGUGUGGAAUUCCCGGUGUAGCAGUGAAAUGCGUAGAGAUCGGGAGGAACACCAGUGGCGAAGGCGACACCCUGGACCAGCACUGACACUGAGGCACGAAAAGCGUGGGGAGCAAAACAGGAUUAGAUACCCUGGUAGUCCACGCCCUAAAACGAUGCGAACUGGAUGUUGGGUGCAACUUGGCACUCAGUAUCGAAGCUAACG
rnacentral:rRNA from 1 species